rnacentral:rRNA from 1 species
AACGAACGCUGGCGGCAGGCCUAAUACAUGCAAGUCGAACGCACCGCAAGGUGAGUGGCAGACGGGUGAGUAACGCGUGGGAACCUUCCUAGUAGUACGGAAUAACUCCGGGAAACCGGUGCUAAUACCGUAUAAGCCCUCCGGGGGAAAGAUUUAUCGCUACUAGAUGGGCCCGCGUCGGAUUAGCUUGUUGGUGAGGUAAUGGCUCACCAAGGCUUCGAUCCGUAGCUGGUCUGAGAGGAUGAUCAGCCACACUGGGACUGAGACACGGCCCAGACUCCUACGGGAGGCAGCAGUAGGGAAUAUUGGACAAUGGGCGAAAGCCUGAUCCAGCCAUGCCGCGUGAGUGAAGAAGGCCUUAGGGUUGUAAAGCUUCUUUUGGCGGGAAGAUAAUGACGGUACCGCAGAAUAAGCUCCGGCUAACUUCGUGCCAGCAGCCGCCGUAAU